GACGAACGCUGGCGGCGUGCUUAACACAUGCAAGUCGAACGGAAAGGCCCUGCUUUUGUGGGGUGCUCGAGUGGCGAACGGGUGAGUAACACGUGAGUAACCUGCCCUUGACUUUGGGAUAACUUCAGGAAACUGGGGCUAAUACCGGAUAGGAGCUCCUGCUGCAUGGUGGGGGUUGGAAAGUUUCGGCGGUUGGGGAUGGACUCGCGGCUUAUCAGCUUGUUGGUGGGGUAGUGGCUUACCAAGGCUUUGACGGGUAGCCGGCCUGAGAGGGUGACCGGCCACAUUGGGACUGAGGUACGGCCCAGACUCCUACGGGAGGCAGCAGUGGGGAAUAUUGCACAAUGGGCGGAAGCCUGAUGCAGCAACGCCGCGUGCGGGAUGACGGCCUUCGGGUUGUAAACCGCUUUCGCCUGUGACGAAGCGUGAGUGACGGUAAUGGGUAAAGAAGCACCGGCUAACUACGUGCCAGCAGCCGCGGUGAUACGUAGGGUGCGAGCGUUGUCCGGAUUUAUUGGGCGUAAAGGGCUCGUAGGUGGUUGAUCGCGUCGGAAGUGUAAUCUUGGGGCUUAACCCUGAGCGUGCUUUCGAUACGGGUUGACUUGAGGAAGGUAGGGGAGAAUGGAAUUCCUGGUGGAGCGGUGGAAUGCGCAGAUAUCAGGAGGAACACCAGUGGCGAAGGCGGUUCUCUGGGCCUUUCCUGACGCUGAGGAGCGAAAGCGUGGGGAGCGAACAGGCUUAGAUACCCUGGUAGUCCACGCUGUAAACGGUGGGUACUAGGUGUGGGGUCCAUUCCACGGGUUCCGUGCCGUAGCUAACGCUUUAAGUACCCCGCCUGGGGAGUACGGCCGCAAGGCUAAAACUCAAAGGAAUUGACGGGGCCCCGCACAAGCGGCGGAGCAUGCGGAUUAAUUCGAUGCAACGCGUAGAACCUUACCUGGGUUUGACAUGGAUCGGGAGCGCUCAGAGAUGGGUGUGCCUCUUUUAGGGUCGGUUCACAGGUGGUGCAUGGCUGUCGUCAGCUCGUGUCGUGAGAUGUUGGGUUAAGUCCCGCAACGAGCGCAACCCUUGUUCACUGUUGCCAGCACGUUAUGGUGGGGACUCAGUGGAGACCGCCGGGGUCAACUCGGAGGAAGGUGGGGAUGACGUCAAGUCAUCAUGCCCCUUAUGUCCAGGGCUUCACGCAUGCUACAAUGGCUGGUACAGAGAGUGGCGAGCCUGUGAGGGUGAGCGAAUCUCGGAAAGCCGGUCUCAGUUCGGAUUGGGGUCUGCAACUCGACCUCAUGAAGUCGGAGUCGCUAGUAAUCGCAGAUCAGCAACGCUGCGGUGAAUACGUUCCCGGGGCU
rnacentral:rRNA from 1 species